GGGCCUAUAGCUCAGCGGUUAGAGCAGCCGACUCAUAAUCGGUCGGUCCCUGGUUCGAAUCCUGGUAGGCCCACCA
rnacentral:tRNA from 1 species